rnacentral:rRNA from 1 species
AACACAUGCAAGUCGAACGGCAGCACAGGAGAGCUUGCUCUCUGGGUGGCGAGUGGCGGACGGGUGAGGAAUACAUCGGAAUCUACUCUGUCGUGGGGGAUAACGUAGGGAAACUUACGCUAAUACCGCAUACGACCUACGGGUGAAAGCAGGGGAUCUUCGGACCUUGCGCGAUUGAAUGAGCCGAUGUCGGAUUAGCUAGUUGGCGGGGUAAAGGCCCACCAAGGCGACGAUCCGUAGCUGGUCUGAGAGGAUGAUCAGCCACACUGGAACUGAGACACGGUCCAGACUCCUACGGGAGGCAGCAGUGGGGAAUAUUGGACAAUGGGCGCAAGCCUGAUCCAGCCAUACCGCGUGGGUGAAGAAGGCCUUCGGGUUGUAAAGCCCUUUUGUUGGGAAAGAAAUCCAGCUGGCUAAUACCCGGUUGGGAUGACGGUACCCAAAGAAUAAGCACCGGCUAACUUCGUGCCAGCAGCCGCGGUAAUACGAAGGGUGCAAGCGUUACUCGGAAUUACUGGGCGUAAAGCGUGCGUAGGUGGUCGUUUAAGUCCGUUGUGAAAGCCCUGGGCUCAACCUGGGAACUGCAGUGGAUACUGGGCGACUAGAGUGUGGUACAGGGUA